GACGAACGCUGGCGGCGUGCUUAACACAUGCAAGUCGAACGGAAAGGCCCUGCUUGCCGGGUACUCGAGUGGCGAACGGGUGAGUAACACGUGGGUGAUCUGCCCUGCACUUCGGGCUAAGCCUGGGAAACUGGGUCUAAUACCGGAUAGGAGCCAUUUUUAGUGUGAUGGUUGGACAGUUUUUUCGGUGUAGGAUGAGCUCGCGGCCUAUCAGCUUGUUGGUGGGGUAAUGGCCUACCAAGGCGGCGACGGGUAGCCGGCCUGAGAGGGUGGACGGCCACAUUGGGACUGAGAUACGGCCCAGACUCCGACGGGAGGCAGCAGUGGGGAAUAUUGCACAAUGGGCGCAAGCCGGAUGCAGCGACGCCGCGUGGGGGAUGACGGCCUUAGGGUUGUAAACGCCUUUCGCUAGGGACGAAGCUUUUUGUGACGGUACCUAGAGAAGAAGCACCGGCUAACUACGUG
rnacentral:rRNA from 1 species